AGAGUUUGAUCCUGGCUCAAAAUCAACUCAGGCGGCGUGCCUAACACAUGCAAGUCGAACGCGAAAGCGGCUUCGGCCGUAAGUAGAGUGGCAAACGGGUGAGUAACGCGUGGGUGACCUGCCUUCCAGUGGGGGGUAACGUUUCGAAAGGAACGCUAAUACCGCAUGACAUCCCGUCCUUAGACGGAUGGUGAUCAAAGCUGGGGAUCGCAAGACCUGGCGCUUGAAGAGGGGCCCGCGUCCGAUUAGCUAGUUGGUAGGGUAAUGGCCUACCAAGGCAACGAUCGGUAGCCGGCCUGAGAGGGCGGACGGCCACACUGGGACUGAGACACGGCCCAGACUCCUACGGGAGGCAGCAGUGAGGAAUUGUUCGCAAUGGGCGCAAGCCUGACGACGCAACGCCGCGUGGAGGACGAAGAUCUUCGGGUCGUAUACUCCUGUCGAGCGGGACGAAUAUCACGCGGGUCAACACCCCGGGUGCCUGACGGUACCGCUAAUGGAAGCCCCGGCUAACUCCGUGCCAGCAGCCGCGGUAAUACGGGGGGGGCAAGCGUUGUUCGGAAUUACUGGGCGUAAAGAGCUUGUACGCGGCCAACUAAGUCGGACGUGAAAUCCCUCGGCUUAUCCGAGGACCUGCGUCCGAGACUGUCUG
rnacentral:rRNA from 1 species